rnacentral:lncRNA from 1 species
UCCUGAUAAAAAGCAAACUAAGGUCCAUUUGCAAAAUAUUUCUUGAAUUUAUAAUACAACUACUAUGUAUUACACCCCAAUCUUCUCACAAGUAAGUUCAAGGUUAACUACAUAGAUGCUCACUGCCCAUAUUGGUCCAUUUAAGUAUGUCUUUACAAAUUAAACCACAUCAGAACAGGUUUAGGAAUUAAGUUGCUAAGCACCCAAACCACAAAAACACGUUUCAAACUCACUUGGCAUGAAAAUGCCUCUGGUAAAAAACUAGACUUCACUAAAAUUUCAGUUCAAACUUCAAAUAAUAUCCAAGUUUUGUAGCAUCUCUAAUAGGAACUUCAAACAAGUUUUCAUUGUGACAUGGAAGCAAAUUUAAAUUGCCAUCUAAAAUGGACUGUACAGUAUCAGCAUAAAGCAUGUUGAUGCACCAAUUUUUAUUUUUUUUAUCAAACAACCUAAGCAAUGUGUGCAUUU